rnacentral:rRNA from 1 species
UUUGGUAUUUGACAUCUGUCAAAAGUCCUUUGGAACAGGGCGUCACGGAGGGUGAAAAUCCCGUAUUGUUCAGAUUGAUCAAUUCCAUGUAAAGCUCCUUCGAAGAGUCGAGUUGUUUGGGAAUGCAGCUCUAAAUGGGAGGUAAAUUUCUUCCAAAGCUAAAUAUUGGCUAGAGACCGAUAGCGCACAAGUAGAGUGAUCGAAAGAUGAAAAGCACUUUGAAAAGAGAGUUAAACAGCACGUGAAAUUGUUGAAAGGGAAGCCUAUGCAGCCAGAUAUGAUUAUUGAGGUUCAGCCUUUUGGUGUAUUCCUUGAAAAUCAAGCUAACACCAGUUUGUUUGACAGUUGGAUAAAAGUUUUGGGAAUGUAGCUCCUCGGAGUGUUAUAGCCCGAUUCAAAAUGCAAUUAGUCCAGACUGAG